rnacentral:rRNA from 1 species
UGAGUUUGAUCAUGGCUCAGGACGAACGCUGGCGGCAUGGAUUAGGCAUGCAAGUCGAACGAAAAUCAGGAGCUUGCUCCUGUGGACGAGUGGCGAAAGGGUGAGUNGCGCGUGAGCAACCUGCCCUCAAGUUUGGAAUAACUCCUGGAAACGGGAGCUAAUACCGGAUGUGGAUAUAUUUCCGCCUGGGGAUUUAUCUAAAGAUUUAUUGCUUGAGGAUGGGCUCGCGUACCAUUAGCUUGUUGGUGUGGUAACGGCAUACCAAGGCGACGAUGGUUAAGUGGACUGAGAGGUCGGCCACCCACACUGGGACUGAGACACUGCCCAGACUCCUACGGGAGGCUGCAGUCGAGAAUCUUCCGCAAUGCGCGAAAGCGUGACGGAGCAAUGCCGCGUGGCCGAUGAGGGCCUUCGGGUCGUAAAGGCCUGUCACAUGGGACGAAAAUUUGACGG